GGUACCCCGGGGAUAACAGGCUGAUCUUCCCCAAGAGUCCAUAUCGACGGGAUGGUUUGGCACCUCGAUGUCGGCUCGUCGCAUCCUGGGGCUGGAGUCGGUCCCAAGGGUUGGGCUGUUCGCCCAUUAAAGCGGUACGCGAGCUGGGUUUAGAACGUCGUGAGACAGUUCGGUCCCUAUCCGCUGUGCGCGUAGGAGUCUUGAGAAGGGCUGUCCCUAGUACGAGAGGACCGGGACGGACGAACCUCUGGUGUGCCAGUUGUUCUGCCAAGGGCAUGGCUGGUUGGCUACGUUCGGGAGGGAUAACCGCUGAAAGCAUCUAAGCGGGAAGCCUGCUUCGAGAUGAGGACUCCCACCCACUUGAUGGGGUAAGGCUCCCAGUAGACGACUGGGUUGAUAGGCCGGAUCUGGAAGCACCGUGAGGUGUGGAGGUGACCGGUACUAAUAGGCCGAGGGCUUGUCCUCAGUUG
rnacentral:rRNA from 1 species